UACAGAGGGGGCAAGCGUUAUUCGGAAUUAUUGGGCGUAAAGGGCGCGUAGGCGGCCUGGCAAGUGACGGGUGAAAGCCCUCGGCUCAACCGAGGAACUGCCUGUCAUACUGCCGGGCUAGAGUCCGGAAGAGGAGAGUGGAAUUCCUGGUGUAGCGGUGAAAUGCGCAGAUAUCAGGAAGAACACCCGUGGCGAAGGCGGCUCUCUGGUACGUGACUGACGCUGAGACGCGAAAGCGUGGGGAGCGAACAGG
rnacentral:rRNA from 1 species